GACCGCGUAGCUCAGUUGGCAGAGCAUUGGGCUAGCAUUCCAAAGGUCGUAGGUUCGAUUCCCAUCGUGGCUA
rnacentral:tRNA from 1 species